CCAUAUUGUAAUCGACACUGGUGUCCAACAUCAUACAGGACUCCUGGAGGCACAGAAGGAAAAUCCAGCAACUCUUUACUAGGUGGAUCAUCCAAGCAAAGACCCCAUCCACGACUAUUGAAAGACACAACAUGACUGUCAGUGUCAAAAUCUGUUUGAAGCAAAUAAACUAAAGAGAUCUACAACUCAGCAAGCACAUGGAGAGAAGACUGAUGAACCACUGCACAAGGCGGAGGAUUAACCCCUCAGCAUCGUGACACAGCGGGCCUAUUCUAUCAUGAGGAAGCAAGAAGGAGGGAGGCAGAGGGGAGAGAAGCAGGGGCAGCUAUUGUCCGGACGGUUUUCAGGGGUGCGUAGCCUACUCACUAAAGAUUUAUAUCCAAGUAAAUCAAAUAAAAAAGCAUAUGGCUGG